rnacentral:misc_RNA from 1 species
GAAAUGCGAUAAGUAAUGUGAAUUGCAGAAUUCAGUGAAUCAUCCAAUCUUUGAACGCACCUUGCGCUCCUUGGUAUUCCUUGGAGCAUGCCUGUUUGAGUAUCAUGAAAUCUUCAAAGUAAAUCUUUUGUUAACUCAAUUGGUUUCUACUUUGGUAUUGGAGGUCUUUGCAGCUUCACACCUGCUCCUCUUUGUUCAUUAGCUGGAUCUCAGUGUUAUGCUUGGUUCCACUCGGCGUGAUAAGUUAUCUAUCGCUGAGGACACUGUAAAAGGUGGCCAAGGUAAAUGCAGAUGAACCGCUUCUAAUAGUCCAUUGACUUGGACAAUACUUUUAUGAUCUGAUCUCAAAUCAGGUAGGACUACCCGCUGAACUUAAGC